rnacentral:rRNA from 1 species
UGGGGAAUAUUGCACAAUGGGCGCAAGCCUGAUGCAGCAACGCCGCGUGAGGGAUGACGGCCUUCGGGUUGUAAACCUCUUUUAGUAGGGAAGAAGCGAAAGUGACGGUACCUGCAGAAAAAGCACCGGCUAACUACGUGCCAGCAGCCGCGGUAAUACGUAGGGUGCGAGCGUUGUCCGGAAUUAUUGGGCGUAAAGAGCUCGUAGGCGGUCUGUCGCGUCUGCUGUGAAAACCCGAGGCUCAACCUCGGGCCCUGCAGUGGGUACGGGCAGACUAGAGUGCGGUAGGGGAGAAUGGAAUUCCUGGUGUAGCGGUGGAAUGCGCAGAUAUCAGGAGGAACACCGAUGGCGAAGGCAGUUCUCUGGGCCGUAACUGACGCUGAGGAGCGAAAGCGUGGGGAGCGAACAGGAUUAGAUACCCUGGUAGUCCACGCCGUAAACGUUGGGCGCUAGAUGUGGGGACCAUUCCACGGUUUCCGUGUC